rnacentral:rRNA from 1 species
UAAGGAAUAUUGGUCAAUGGACGCAAGUCUGAACCAGCCAUGCCGCGUGAAGGAUGAAGGUCCUCUGGAUUGUAAACUUCUUUUAUCUGGGACGAAAACGGGAUUUUUAUCUCAAUUGACGGUACCAGAGGAAUAAGCACCGGCUAACUCCGUGCCAGCAGCCGCGGUAAUACGGAGGGUGCGAGCGUUAUCCGGAUUUACUGGGUUUAAAGGGUGCGUAGGUGGGCUUAUAAGUCAGUGGUGAAAUCUCCGAGCUUAACUUGGAAACUGCCGUUGAUACUAUAGGUCUUGAAUUAUCUGGAGGUAAGCGGAAUAUGGCAUGUAGCGGUGAAAUGCUUAGAUAUGACAUAGAACACCAAUUGCGAAGGCAGCUUACUACAUAUAAAUUGACGCUGAGGCACGAAAGCGUGGGGAUCAAACA